rnacentral:rRNA from 1 species
GAUGAACGCUGGCGGCGUGCCUAAUACAUGCAAGUCGAGCGAACAGACGAGGAGCUUGCUCCUCUGACGUUAGCGGCGGACGGGUGAGUAACACGUGGAUAACCUACCUAUACGACUGGGAUAACUUCGGGAAACCGGAGCUAAUACCGGAUAAUAUAUUGAACCGCAUGGUUCAAUAGUGAAAGACGGUUUUGCUGUCACUUAUAGAUGGAUCCGCGCCGCAUUAGCUAGUUGGUAAGGUAACGGCUUACCAAGGCAACGAUGCGUAGCCGACCUGAGAGGGUGAUCGGCAACACUGGAACUGAGACACGGUCCAGACUCCUACGGGAGGCAGCAGUAGGGAAUCUUCCGCAAUGGGCGAAAGCCUGACGGAGCAACGCCGCGUGAGUGAUGAAGGUCUUCGGAUCGUAAAACUCUGUUAUUAGGGAAGAACAAAUGUGUAAGUAACUAUGCACGUCUUGACGGUACCUAAUCAGAAAGCCACGGCUAACUACGUG